ensembl:lncRNA
GUUUGUUUUAACUUUGUUCUAACAUUAAUGUCAGUAUGUGUUGACGUGUGUGUCAAUGUCAGUGUUGACGUGUGCGUUACAGUGAGUGUGUGUGUUAACGUGUCUGUUAUCGUGUGUGUUGAGGUGAGUGUGUGUGUUAAGCUGUGUGUUGUGGUGAGUGUGUGUGUUAAGAUGUGUGUUGAGGUGAGUGUGUGUUGAGGCGUGUGUUGAGGCGUGUGUUGAGGCGUGUGUUGAGGUGUGUGUCGAGGUGUGUGUUGAGGUGUGUGUUGAGGCGUGUGUUGAGGUGUGUGUUGAGGCGCGUGUUGAGGUGUGUGUUGAGGUGUGUGUUGAGGUGUGUGUUGAGGUGUGUUGUUGAGGUGUGUGUUGAGGUGUGUGUUGAGGCGUGUGUUGAGGCGUGUGUUGGGGCGUGUGUUGAG